GCGUCGGUAGUGCAAACGGUUAGCAUACGCUCCCGGAAAGUGUGAGAUCUGAGUUCGAAUCCCGGCUGACGCA